GUGCUCAUUUUAGUAGCACAUAUAUUAAAAUUGGAGCAAUACAGAAAUUAGCAUUGCCCCUGCACGAGAAGCAAAAAAAGAGAAAAAGACCCUGGACUUUCUU